CCUACGGGAGGCAGCAGUGAGGAAUAUUGGUCAAUGGGCGCGAGCCUGAACCAGCCAAGUAGCGUGAAGGAUGAAUGCCCUACGGGUUGUAAACUUCUUUUAUAAAGGAAUAAAGUGAGGCACGUGUGCCUUUUUGUAUGUAUUUUAUGAUUACGGAUCGGCUAACUCCGCGCCAGCAGCCGCGGUAAUACGGAGGUACCGAGCGUUAUCCGGAUUUAUUGGGUUGAAAGGGAGCGUAGAUGGGUUGUUAAGUCAGUUGUGAAAGUUUGCGGCUCAACCGUAAAAGUGCAAUUGAUACUGGCAGGCUUGAGUACAGUUGAGGUAGGCGGAAUUCGUGGUGUAGCGGUGAAAUGCUUAGAUAUCACGAAGAACACCGAUUGCGAAGGCAGCCUACUAAACUGCCACUGACAUUGAUGCUCGAAAGUGUGGGGAUCAAACAGGAUUAGAUACCCGAGUAGUC
rnacentral:rRNA from 1 species